UAUGCCUAGCCCUAAACCUUGAUGUUUGUAUUACAAAAACAUCCGCCCGAGAACUACGAGCGCAAACGCUUAAAACUCUAAGGACUUGGCGGUGCCCCAAACCCACCUAGAGGAGCCUGUUCUAUAAUCGACAAUCCACGAUACACCCGACCACUUCUUGCCAAAACAGCCUACAUACCGCCGUCUCCAGCUCACCUUCCUGAAAGCACAACAGUGAGCUCAACAGCCCCAACCCGCUAGCAAGACAGGUCAAGGUAUAGCCUAUGAAGUGGAAGAAAUGGGCUACAUUUUCUAAGGUAGAAAAAUCCAACGAAAGAGGACAUGAAACCUGUCUCCUAGAAGGCGGAUUUAGCAGUAAAGCGGGAUAAUAAUGCCCCCUUUAAACAGGCCCUGGAG
rnacentral:rRNA from 1 species